UACGUAGGCAGCGAGCGUUGUUCGGAAUUAUUGGGCGUAAAGAGUGUGUAGGCGGUGCUCCAAGUCUGUCGUGAAAUCUCCCGGCUUAACUGGGAGGGUGCGGCGGAAACUGGAAUGCUAGAGGGUGGGAGAGGUAAGCGGAAUUCCUGGUGUAGCGGUGAAAUGCGUAGAUAUCAGGAGGAACACCAAUUGCGAAGGCAGCUCGCUGGGACGUGACUGACGCUGAGACGCGAAAGCGUGGGGAGCAAACAGG
rnacentral:rRNA from 1 species